AAAAAAUGUUUGUCUUACAGGAGCACCACUCUUCACCCCACCUGAGGUCAUAAGGCACAGCAAAUACCACGCUGACCCAGCGUAUGUCUGGGCAAUAGGUGUUGUGCUGUUUGAAAUCUUGCACGGGUUUUUGCCAUUUGGAAACCAAGACGAAAUACUGCGUGACUAUGUUAAAGCAAAACCCACUUUAUCCUCAGGUAAACACGACAGACACCUCUUUACAGACAAAACAGAUAUGUCAGACAGGAAGUCUAGCAAGUAACAAAUGUUUACCAACAUGACUGUAGAAAAUUGUUAUUUAAUUGGGGAUAUUUAGAUCAUCUAAUAAUGAAAUUUUAAAUGUUAAAACAUUUACUCUUCAGAAGCUUUUUCAUGUCAACAUUGAUGUUAAGACUAACCUGCACUCUCACUCUGAAAUCUUUACAGCAUGCCAUGACCUGAUUUUCCAGUGUUUGAUCCGCAAUCCAGCGAACAGACUGACGCUAGAGCAUCUAGAAGAGCACAGGUGGUUUAAGAGCUAGAUUGGCAGAAGACAGCGGAUCCCAUGCUUCAGUUAGAUGAGAAAAGGUAGUGAAACACUCUCAGUCCCUCUCAUCGGAAGAGUCAAACUUCUUUAUAGUUCAACUGUAAUUUGCACUGGCAUAUUGUAAGAGGUGAUACAGAGAUUCAUCACAUACCUUACGUAAUAUAGUGAUGAAAACGAAUGAACAAAAUCCAUAUACAGAGGCUUUCUGCUACAAAAGAGAGAUCCCUCUCCAUCUGUGCCUUGCGGACCAGAAGACAAACUUAAUGAACCCAUCAUUCAAUCUCCAAUCUCAACCAGAUCCGUCUGUCCUUUGUGACGGAGCUCCAGGCCUGAAUCUGAGGGGUUUGAAAGGGUUCACGUUUAAGACAAACUUAAUGAACCCAUCAUUCAAUCUCCAAUCUCAACCUCUGUGGCAGAUCCAUCCAGUUCUGACCCGGGUGACGUUUUCAGUUCAGGAUGGGGGCCAGCACUGUUUCCAUGUUUGUUGCAGACUUGUGAAGCCCUCCAUCAUGUUCUAAAAAAGCACAAUCUGAAGGUACAUAUUUGUGUAAUUACAAAAUUGCUUUAUCUAAGUUUGAUUGAUGUGUCUAUUGUUCUUAAACCUUUAGUUUUCUA
rnacentral:lncRNA from 1 species